CCUACGGGUGGCAGCAGUGAGGAAUAUUGGUCAAUGGACGAGAGUCUGAACCAGCCAAGUAGCGUGAAGGAUGACUGCCCUAUGGGUUGUAAACUUCUUUUAUAUGGGAAUAAAAUGUUCCACGUGUGGGAUUUUGUAUGUACCAUAUGAAUAAGGAUCGGCUAACUCCGUGCCAGCAGCCGCGGUAAUACGGAGGAUCCGAGCGUUAUCCGGAUUUAUUGGGUGUAAAGGGAGCGUAGGUGGAUUGUUAAGUCAGUUGUGAAAGUUUGCGGCUCAACCGUAAAAUUGCAGUUGAAACUGGCAGUCUUGAGUACAGUAGAGGUGGGCGGAAUUCGUGGUGUAGCGGUGAAAGGCUUAGAUAUCACGAAGAACUCCGAUUGCGAAGGCAGCUCACUGGACUGCAACUGACACUGAGGCUCGAAAGUGUGGGUAUCAAACAGGAUUAGAUACCCGAGUAGUC
rnacentral:rRNA from 1 species